rnacentral:lncRNA from 1 species
GAAUGCUGUGGGCCUGUAGAGGCUGGAAAGUCAAGGAAACAUACUUUUUUCCCCUGGAACCUCCAGAAGGAGCCAAGGCUUCCAACAACUUCAUUUUAGUUUUUGAACCCCACUUGGGAGAACACUGCUCUAAAUAAUUACUAAGUGGGAUAAUAAGUGUAACAAGUGGAAUAUUAAAGUGGAGGAAUGGUAGAGGCAUUGCAGAUGGCAGCACAGACAGUAUAAACCACAAACUGGAGAUCACUGGCCAAGCGGACCCAGUCCGAACUUCUCAACAUGAAAUUUCUGGAAUAAUGCUCACCUAAGAUUAACAGCAGUCGUUUCCGGAAGCAAUGUUCCAGAUAGUUCAUUCUAAAAACGACUCAAGAUGACAUGACAUGGGUCAGAGCUGCAGUCAAUCCUCAAAGGACACGUGACAUAAGUAUGAAAUAAGCCUUUUUUGUUCUAAGCCACUGAGGUUUAGGAUCAUGUUUACCAAAGCAAAACCAAGCUAAAAAUUAAUGGUAAUCUUAAGUAUUCUGGGAAUAAGCAGAAAUAUAUUUUUAAAAGAAGAAAAUAAAACUUUGUAUUACUAAGUAAGAGGCAGAGCACUGACGACAAAAUCUCAACUCCUUACACAAACCGGUCCUAACCUCCCUCUUUCCCUUCAUCUCCUACAGCAGGAACCUUUCUCCCCAUACUCUGGCUAACCUGGUCUUCAUCAUCAUUUAUUUUCCUUGAACACUUCCAGCUUGCUCUCUUCUCAGGAUUUUUGAACGUGCAGUUCCCUCAGACUGGAAUACUAUUCCUCCAGAGCUCAUGGCUGGCUCCUUCCUAGUUUUUAGAACUCAGCACAAAUGUCAGGGAAACCCUGAUCAGUUAUUCAAGGCUAUAAUCUCCUUCCCACCCUCCACCUGGCAAAGGCUAUAAAGGUACCAUCUUUUCUUCUUCAUAAGUCAC